GGAGAGUUUGAUCCUGGCUCAGGACGAACGCUGGCGGCGUGCUUAACACAUGCAAGUCGAGCGGAAAGGCCCUUCGGGGUACUCGAGCGGCGAACGGGUGAGUAACACGUGAGUAACCUGCCCCUGACUCUGGGAUAAGCCUGGGAAACUGGGUCUAAUACCGGAUACGACCUCCUGCGGCAUCGUGGGUGGUGGAAAGUUUUCCGGUUGGGGAUGGGCUCGCGGCCUAUCAGCUUGUUGGUGGGGUAGUGGCCUACCAAGGCGACGACGGGCAGCCGGCCUGAGAGGGCGACCGGCCACACUGGGACUGAGACACGGCCCAGACUCCUACGGGAGGCAGCAGUGGGAAUAUUGCGCAAUGGGCGGAAGCCUGACGCAGCGACGCCGCGUGGGGGAUGACGGCCUUCGGGUUGUAAACCUCUUUCAGCAGGGACGAAGUUGACGUGUACCUGCAGAAGAAGCGCCGGCUAACUACGUGCCAGCAGCCGCGGUAAUUCCAGCUCCAAUAGCGUAUAUUAAUUUUGUUGCGGUUAAAAAGCUCGUAGUUGGAUCUCGGUUUCGGGCGAGUGGUGUACCUUGCGGUAUUUACUGUUUGCCCGGACGAUUUUGUUGGUUCGUUUAUGGUUCUCUUAACCGAGUGCCAUAAGUGGCCAGCACGUUUACUUUGAAAAAAUUGGAGUGCUCAAAGCAGGCGCUACAGCCUGAACAUUAGUGCAUGGAAUAAUGGAAUAGGAUCUCGGUUCUAUUUCGUUGGCUUUCGGAGUCGAGGUAAUGAUUAAUAGGGACAGACGGGGGCAUUCGUACUGCGACGUUAGAGGUGAAAUUCUUGGAUCGUCGCAAGACGAACUACUGCGAAAGCAUUUGCCAAGAAUGUUUUCAUUAAUCAAGAACGAAAGUUAGAGGCUCGAAGGCGAUCAGAUACCGCCCUAGUUCUAACCAUAAACGAUGUCGACCGGCGAUCCGUUAUCGUUAACUGAAUGACUUAACGGGCAGCCUCCGGGAAACCAGGGUGUUUGGAUUCCGGGGGAAGUAUGGUUGCAAAGCUGAAACUUAAAGGAAUUGACGGAAGGGCACCACCAGGAGUGGAGCCUGCGGCUUAAUUUGACCCAACACGGGAAAUCUCACCAGGCCCGGACACCGGAAGGAUUGACAGAUUGAGAGCUCUUUCUUGAUUCGGUGGGUGGUGGUGCAUGGCCGUUCUUAGUUGGUGGAGCGAUUUGUCUGGUUAAUUCCGAUAACGAACGAGACUCUGGCCUACUAACUAGACGUUAGAUCCCUUUGUGGGUCUAUCGCAGCUUCUUAGAGGGACGGGCGGCGUUUAGCCGCACGAGAUUGAGCAAUAACAGGUCUGUGAUGCCCUUAGAUGUUCUGGGCUGCACGCGCGCUACACUGAAGGAAUCAGCGUGUGUUCCCUACCCGAAAGGGUUGGGAAACCCGUUGAACCUCCUUCGUGAUGGGGAUUGGGGAUUGCAAUUAUUCCCCAUGAACGAGGAAUUCCCAGUAGGCGCGAGUCAUAAGCUUGCGUCGAUUACGUCCCUGCCCUUUGUACACACCGCCCGUCGCUACUACCGAUCGAGUGAUUUAGUGAGGCCUUCGGACUGGUCUUCAGUAUGGCUUUCGGGUCGUGUUGGAGUACCGCAAAGAUGACCAAACUUGAUCACUUAGAGGAAGUAAAAGUCGUAACAAGGUU
rnacentral:rRNA from 1 species